UAUACCGUGAAACUGCGAAUGGCUCAUUAAAUCAGUUAUCGUUUAUUUGAUAGUACCUUACUACUUGGAUAACCGUGGUAAUUCUAGAGCUAAUACAUGCUGAAAACCCCGACUUCGGAAGGGGUGUAUUUAUUAGAUAAAAAACCAACGCCCUUCGGGGCUUCUUGGUGAUUCAUAAUAACUUUACGGAUCGCAUGGCCUUGCGCCGGCGACGGUUCAUUCAAAUUUCUGCCCUAUCAACUUUCGAUGGUAAGGUAUUGGCUUACCAUGGUUUCAACGGGUAACGGGGAAUUAGGGUUCGAUUCCGGAGAGGGAGCCUGAGAAACGGCUACCACAUCCAAGGAAGGCAGCAGGCGCGCAAAUUACCCAAUCCCGACACGGGGAGGUAGUGACAAUAAAUACUGAUACAGGGCUCUUUUGGGUCUUGUAAUUGGAAUGAGUACAAUUUAAACCUCUUAACGAGGAACAAUUGGAGGGCAAGUCUGGUGCCAGCAGCCGCGGUAAUUCCAGCUCCAAUAGCGUAUAUUAAAGUUGUUGCAGUUAAAAAGCUCGUAGUUGAAACUUGGGUCUGGCUGGCAGGUCCGCCUCACCGCGUGUACUUGUCCGGCCGGGCCUUCCUUCUGGAGAACCUCAUGCCCUUCACUGGGCGUGUUGGGGACCAGGACUUUUACUUUGAAAAAAUUAGAGUGUUCAAAGCAGGCCUUUGCUCGAAUACGUUAGCAUGGAAUAAUAGAAUAGGACGUGCGUUCCUAUUUUGUUGGUUUCUAGGAACGCCGUAAUGAUUAAUAGGGACAGUCGGGGGCAUCAGUAUUCAAUUGUCAGAGGUGAAAUUCUUGGAUUUAUUGAAGACUAACUACUGCGAAAGCAUUUGCCAAGGAUGUUUUCAUUAAUCAGUGAACGAAAGUUAGGGGAUCGAAGACGAUCAGAUACCGUCGUAGUCUUAACCGUAAACUAUGCCGACUAGGGAUCGGGCGAUGUUCUUUUUCUGACUCGCUCGGCACCUUACGAGAAAUCAAAGUU
rnacentral:rRNA from 5 species